ACGCAUACUCCUCACAGUUUUAUAUUCCAUAAAUGUACAAAUUGUAACAAGUAAUAAAAUGAGCUUAAGAGUCCAGAUAAUCGUUCUCACGGGAAUUAUUAUAUAAUUAUUGGUUCAAUUAUUUCUAACUUCGAUCGAAAACUAAUAGAAGUAGCUAUUACCACUUGAUAUAGCCAAUAAUUGCCAAUAUUAUCUUCUAAUAAGGUCGGCUUUAGUGGCUUACCAAUAUCAUUACAUUAAUAAUUACCCUCAAAAGCAAAUAGUCACAAUCACCAUUAAAUUCACUAGGAAAAUACCAUUACAUAGAGCUCAAUCCCAGACUCGGCAAAUAUGGAUUUUUGUUACGAAGAAAGCCUCCACUACUUUGCCUUCAAUGGAAUCCGGUUUACAAGACCAGAACUCACAUCUGCGUAAAUUUUAAGGAAAAUCCUGGUUCACAAUGACUUCAAAAUGCAGAGUAGAGAAAAAGCACUAUCCCACUAGUUGCACAAUGGAAGAGAGAAGCAUCUAUAAUUCAGAUAAAAGAAGCAGCAGUGUUGCUCAUUAUAUAGUAAUUCUCGAAAACUAACCUGUUGUUAUUCCGACAAGUCUCUUGGUCUCUUUGUUAAGGAUUUCCGUAUACAAGUUACGCAUACAAGGUCUAUCUUCAAUAACAAAACCAACUUUCAACAUAUGUGAAUUAUAUUCACUUGGGUAAAAAUGUAUUUUUGCACUACAUGUCCACAACUGAAAGAUUCCAGCAUCUCAUAGAUUGUGAACAGCGUUUUUUUUGUUGGGGGGGGGGGGGGGGGGGGGGUUCAAUCCUUCACAGUCGAACCCCAAACUCCCGGAUCUCCCUCAUCACCCACACGUAAAAUAAGACAGUAAGAAAAUUAAGGUGUGGUUGGUUUGCCGUUUUCGGCUCAUUUUCCGUUUUUCGUUUUCGAAAAUGCGGAAAAUGCGUUUGGUUCGUCAUUUUCGAAAACACAUUUUCGAAAACGAGUUAAAAUUUAUAACUGAAAAUGCAGAACGACUUUUUAUCGUUUUCAG
rnacentral:lncRNA from 1 species